rnacentral:rRNA from 1 species
UACGAAGGGGCUAGCGUUGUUCGGAUUUACUGGGCGUAAAGCGCACGUAGGCGGACUUUUAAGUCAGGGGUGAAAUCCCAGAGCUCAACUCUGGAACUGCCUUUGAUACUGGAAGUCUUGAGUAUGGUAGAGGUGAGUGGAAUUCCGAGUGUAGAGGUGAAAUUCGUAGAUAUUCGGAGGAACACCAGUGGCGAAGGCGGCUCACUGGACCAUUACUGACGCUGAGGUGCGAAAGCGUGGGGAGCAAACAGGAUUAGAUACCCCCGUAGUCCCU